rnacentral:precursor_RNA from 1 species
UUCACCCUGGAUGUUCUCUUCACUGUGGGAUGAGGUAGUAGGUUGUAUAGUUUUAGGGUCACACCCACCACUGGGAGAUAACUAUACAAUCUACUGUCUUUCCUAACGUGAUAGAAAAGUCUGCAUCCAGGC